UUAAAAGACCAAAACAUUGGUGUUUCUACUAUCAUAAGACCACAUUCCUCUCUUCACUGUUUUGAAACUUUUUGUCCAUGUGUCUUUUGGAUCAGCAUUCAUAUAUGUAUAACUCUUCAACACGUCCCUGUAGUCGAUGACUUCCUCCAGGAUCUGCGUGGAGCUGUAGAGACUGUGAAAGCAAAUCCAGGACCGAUCACUGGAGGCUUGGCUCCAAUAUAUGGAGCUGCAGGGAAGAUGCCGGACCGAGGCAUGGUGAAUGAGCUACUGGUUAGUUUCAUGGACAGUCAAUAUUAAAACCUUUUUUUUUAAAGAUCAAAGAAUCAUCAAGUGGGUAAACUGGUUUCACAUUUCAGUUGCAAGAGCAAAGCAUUUGUACAUUCACAACCACAUUGUUUCAUUUUCGCCCUACUAAUAAAAUUCAUCAUAAUCUCGA